rnacentral:misc_RNA from 1 species
AAGUCGUAACAAGGUUUCCGUAGGUGAACCUGCGGAAGGAUCAUUAACACGUAUCCAAACGUUAAACCCCCCUGUGAACCUUCAGUCGUACUCGUACGUCCGUUAGAAAAAGCAGCAAUCCCUGGUAAAUCAUCGCCGAACAGUUUUCGAUUCAGGGACGUCUGCAAGGAGCGUGCAUGUUGUGCGUGUAAGUGGCCUGGCAUCCCCAAGCAGUUAGUGUCUGAAAGUGUCACUAACGUUAGUGUCUGAAAGUGUCACUAACAUGUGUAAGGAUGACGCAGUCACGAUCGUUGGAGGCCCACACACGGCCGACGACCGGGUCACUGGGUGCAACUCUAUCUAUGGUGAUCCUGCGGGAAGUCCUGCGGUCGAACGCCGAAACCGAACAACUGUUAACAAUGGAUAUCUUGGUUCUC